GUGGGGAAUAUUGGACAAUGGGCGAAAGCCUGAUCCAGCCAUGCCGCGUGUGUGAAGAAGGUCUUCGGAUUGUAAAGCACUUUAAGUUGGGAGGAAGGGUAGUAACCUAAUACGUUGCUACUUUGACGUUACCGACAGAAUAAGCACCGGCUAACUUCGUGCCAGCAGCCGCGGUAAUACGAAGGGUGCAAGCGUUAAUCGGAAUUACUGGGCGUAAAGCGCGCGUAGGUGGUUUUGUAAGUUGGAGGUGAAAUCCCCGGGCUCAACCUGGGAACUGCCUCCAAAACUGCAUGACUAGAGUACGGUAGAGGGUAGUGGAAUUUCCUGUGUAGCGGUGAAAUGCGUAGAUAUAGGAAGGAACACCAGUGGCGAAGGCGACUACCUGGACUGAUACUGACACUGAGGUGCGAAAGCGUGGGGAGCAAACAGGAUUAGAAACCCGGGUAGUCC
rnacentral:rRNA from 1 species